UACACACACACGCACCAUUGUAACGGCGCGGCAACAUCUCCCAACCCCCCGUGGCCCUAUCUUGCCCCGGACUCAUGGAUUUUUGUAUUCAGGCCUACGGGCCUGACAUAAAUAUCCUUAUGUCUAAUUAAAUUGAUAAGUAUCCUUAUGUCUAAUUGAAUUGACCCCACGGAAAUGUAAGAUUAUAAUCUGUAUAGAGGAGGGCAAUUAUACACCAUGCUGGGGUUUUUCCCCUUCUGACAGAAACAGUUUUUACUAAAAUUAUAAAUAGCCCAUGCAGUGCCAUCUCUUGUCACCCAUUCUGCUCCCUCUCCUCCCUCCUCUUCCCUAGUACUUCACUCGGGGCGGAGUUUCGUGGAAUGACACAAUUGCACCACUGCAUCUUUCCGCAAAACUCCGACCCCCCCCCCCCCCCACAAACGGAAUACCCCUGGCAACGAGCAUGACACCCAGCACAUGAAACCCCUGGCAACGAGCAAGACACCCAGCGCAUGAAACCCCUGGCAACGAGCAUGACACCCAGCGCAUGAAACUUCUAGCAAAGAGUAUGACAUUCAGCACUUGAAACCCCUGCUAAGAGCAUGACACCCAGCGCGUGAAACCCCUGGCAACGAGCAUGAUACCCAGCGCAUGAAAACCCUGGCAACGAGCAUGACAUCCAGCGCGUGAAACCCCUGCCAAUUUGCAUUACACCUAGCACGUGAAACCCCUGGCAAUGAGCAUGACACCCAGAGCAUGAAACCCCUGGCAACAAGCAUUACCACCCAGCGCAUAAAACCCCUGGCAACGAGUAUGACACCCAGCGCAUGAAACCCCUGGCAACAAGCAUGACACCCAGCGCAUUCAAUUUAUGGGAUAUCCAAGAUGACUGAGUGUUAGCACUGACAAAGGAUGGACCUGUAGCAUUAUGGGACUCCAGAAGAUGUGUCGGCUCAGGCAAGAACAAGGAUCAACUGAUGUCGGCACUCGUGGAGGGAAAAUCAGAAUCCGGAUACCAGAGAGACACAGGAAUUUAUCUAAUCCAUUUCUAAACUUAUUGAUUUGAGUCCACCAAUACUACCUUCUCUGGCAAAGUGCUGGAUCCGCUGUCCAAUCACCCAUAAGCGGCGUGGCAGGUGGAAGUGGCGCCGGGACCCAGCGGUGACUGGCGUUGGAGCUGCAGCUGUCCCGACUCCAGCAGCGGUGGCGAUGGGAAGCCCAGAGAGGUGGUGCGUGAGGCAGAGCGACGGAGACCAGCGCUCUUCCCUCUCAUUCCUCCACCCUGCCAGCCAGCAGCAGCACAAUCCCAGGCGCCUACAAUGUCAGGUCCAUAAGUUGUGCAGUAGCGUUGCAGAAGACGCUCUGCAUUUUGGGCAUCUACCAUCCUCUUCCGGCACAAAGUGACUGCGUCUGCUCUGAGAGAUAUACGCUCUAUGGACAGUUUUCACAUGGACCUCCUGGAGCACCGAGGAGUGCACCAUCCUUAACACUGAGUGAUAGUACUUCACUAUUGUACCAUCCUGUGGUAAAGAGGGGAUGUCUUUUACCCAUGAGUCCGUGAUUUGUGUCAAAGUGUGUUCUUUAUGGCGUUCUA